AGUGGGAUAGCUGGGUCAUAUGGUAGCUUCAUUCCUAAUUUGUUGAGGAAUCUCCACACUGCUUUCCAAAGUGGUUGCACCACUUUGCAGUCCCACCGAUAAU
rnacentral:pre_miRNA from 1 species